rnacentral:rRNA from 1 species
AUUGAACGCUGGGCGGCAUGCCUUACACAUGCAAGUCGAACGGCAGCGGGCCUUCGGGUGCCGGCGAGUGGCGAACGGGUGAGUAAUGCAUCGGAACGUGCCAUUGAGUGGGGGGAUAACGUAGCGAAAGUUACGCUAAUACCGCAUAUUCUGUGAGCAGGAAAGCAGGGGACCGCAAGGCCUUGCGCUCUUUGAGCGGCCGAUGUCAGAUUAGCUAGUUGGUGAGGUAAAGGCUUACCAAGGCGACGAUCUGUAGCGGGUCUGAGAGGAUGAUCCGCACACUGGAACUGAGACACGGUCCAGACUCCUACGGGAGGCAGCAGUGGGGAAUUUGGACAAUGGGCGCAAGCCUGAUCCAGCAUUCCGCGUGCAGGAU